rnacentral:rRNA from 1 species
GAUGAACGCUAGCGGCGUGCCUAAUACAUGCAAGUCGAGCGAACAGACGAGGAGCUUGCUCCUCUGAUGUUAGCGGCGGACGGGUGAGUAACACGUGGAUAACCUACCUAUAAGACUGGGAUAACUUCGGGAAACCGGAGCUAAUACCGGAUAACAUGUUGAACCGCAUGGUUCAACAGUGAAAGACGGUCUUGCUGUCACUUAUAGAUGGAUCCGCGCCGCAUUAGCUAGUUGGUAAGGUAACGGCUUACCAAGGCAACGAUGCGUAGCCGACCUGAGAGGGUGAUCGGCCACACUGGAACUGAGACACGGUCCAGACUCCUACGGGAGGCAGCAGUAGGGAAUCUUCCGCAAUGGGCGAAAGCCUGACGGAGCAACGCCGCGUGAGUGAAGAAGGUCUUCGGAUCGUAAAACUCUGUUAUUAGGGAAGAACAAAUGUGUAAGUAACUAUGCACGUCUUGACGGUACCUAAUCAGAAAGCCACGGCUAACUACGUG